AAGUCGUCCAGGUAGGGCUGCACCUUGGCCUUCACCUCCUCCAGAUCCUUGCUCAUCUCCUGCCUCAGGCCCUCUGUCUCCUUUUCCAGGGCCGAGCUGUUCGCGCAGCUUGCUGAAGUCUCUGCCGCUGUCUUUGAGCACAUCCACGUACACAGUGGCCAGGUCCUUCACUCGAUCCCAGGGGCUCUGGGGGGGUUCAUCUUGCUGCCAGAAAUGCCGAGCCUGGCUCCCUGAGGGUGGGAGGGGAGACCCAGAUCAGGCC
rnacentral:lncRNA from 1 species